GGGGGUGUAGCUCAGUGGUAGAGCGCGUGCUUAGCAUGCACGAGGCCCUGGGUUCGAGCCCCAGCACCUCCA
rnacentral:tRNA from 2 species